rnacentral:rRNA from 1 species
UACGUAGGUGGCGAGCGUUGUCCGGAUUUACUGGGCGUAAAGGGAGCGUAGGCGGACUUUUAAGUGAGAUGUGAAAUACUCGGGCUCAACUUGAGUGCUGCAUUUCAAACUGGAAGUCUAGAGUGCAGGAGAGGAGAAUGGAAUUCCUAGUGUAGCGGUGAAAUGCGUAGAGAUUAGGAAGAACACCAGUGGCGAAGGCGAUUCUCUAGACUGUAACUGACGCUGAGGCUCGAAAGCGUGGGGAGCAAACAGG